rnacentral:rRNA from 1 species
GUGAGGAAUAUUGGACAAUGGGCGAAAGCCUGAUCCAGCGACGCCGCGUGAGUGAUGAAGGCCUUCGGGUCGUAAAGCUCUGUCAGGUGGGACGAAUAAGGUGAACAUCAGAUCUUCACCGAUGACGGUACCGCCAAAGGAAGCACCGGCUAACUCUGUGCCAGCAGCCGCGGUAAUACAGAGGGUGCAAGCGUUGUUCGGAAUUACUGGGCGUAAAGGGUGUGCAGGCGGCCUGUUAAGUCGGGUGUGAAAGCCCUUGGCUCAACCAAGGAAGAGCAUUCGAAACUGGCGGGCUCGAGUACGGAAGAGGAGAGCGGAAUUCCCAGUGUAGAAGUGAAAUUCGUUGAUAUUGGGAGGAACACCGGUGGCGAAAGCGGCUCUCUGGUCCAGUACUGACGCUGAGACACGAAAGCGUGGGUAGCAAACAGGAUUAGAAACCCUUGUAGUCC